UAUUGAGAUAGUUGAAGAUAGGUGAGGAUCUAAUAUUGUUUAGUCACCUGAACAAAAAUGUAGUUGAAGAAUUUUAUUGGGGAAAUAUGUGUGGUUUGUUGACGGUAUCCGGGAAAUAAGCAUUGGCUAAUUCUGUGCCAGCAGUCGCGGUAAGACAAAGGAUGCAAGCGUUAUCUAGAAUGAUUGGGCGUAAAGCGUUUGUAGGUGGCUUUUUAAGUUCGCCGUCAAAUCCCAGGGCUCAACCCUGGACAGGCGGUGGAAACUACCAAGCUGAAGUACGGCAAGGGCAGAGGGAAUUUCCGGUGGAGCGGUGAAAUGCAUAGAGAUCGAAAAAAACACCAACGGUGAAAGCACUCUGCUGGGCCGACACUAACACUGAGAGACGAAAGAUAGGGGAGCGAAUGAGAUUAGAUACCCCAGUAGUCCUAGCCGUAAAUGAUGGAUACUAGGCGCUGCGCGUAUCGACCCGUGCAAUGUUGUAGCUAUUUCAGGUUAAUUUGUCCCUAUGUGUGUGUGUAUUUU
rnacentral:ncRNA from 1 species